rnacentral:rRNA from 1 species
GACAGAGGGUGCAAACGUUGUUCGGAAUUACUGGGCGUAAAGCGAGUGUAGGCGGUCUGCUAAGUCGGGUGUGAAAGCCCUGGGCUCAACCCAGGAAGUGCACUCGAAACUGGCAGGCUAGAGUACUGGAGAGGUUGGUGGAAUUCUCGGUGUAGAGGUGAAAUUCGUAGAUAUCGAGAGGAACACCGGUGGCGAAGGCGGCCAACUGGACAGAUACUGACGCUGAGGCACGAAAGCGUGGGGAGCAAACAGG